rnacentral:rRNA from 1 species
GAUGAACGCUGGCGGCGUGCUUAACACAUGCAAGUCGAACGGAAAGGCCAGUGCUUGCGCUGGUACUCGAGUGGCGAACGGGUGAGUAACACGUGGGUGAUCUGCCCUGCACUUCGGGAUAAGCUUGGGAAACUGGGUCUAAUACCGGAUAGGACCAUUGGUUGGUGCCUUUGGUGGAAAGUUUUUCGGUGUGGGAUGAGCUCGCGGCCUAUCAGCUUGUUGGUGGGGUAAUGGCCUACCAAGGCGUCGACGGGUAGCCGGCCUGAGAGGGUGUACGGCCACAUUGGGACUGAGAUACGGCCCAGACUCCUACGGGAGGCAGCAGUGGGGAAUAUUGCACAAUGGGCGCAAGCCUGAUGCAGCGACGCCGCGUGGGGGAUGACGGCCUUCGGUUGUAAACGUCCUUCGUCCAAGACGAAUAGUGGACGGUAGUUUGGUAGAAGAAGACACCGGCGUAACUACGUGCCAGCAGCCGCGGUAA